rnacentral:rRNA from 1 species
GCCUACCCGGAGACGCCUACAGACCAGGAACGGACCAUGUCCAAUAGGCCCGCGUCGUUGCUCGUCUCCGAGACUAAGCCAUGCAAGUCCAAGUACACGUCCUUGAACGACGGAAACUGCGAACGGCUCAUUAAAUCAGUUGCGAUCUACUCGGCGUUCCGCGCCGCCGGAUAACCGUAGUAAUUCUAGGGCUAAUACGUGCGAAGCGCCCGAAGCCGCGAGGCGACGGGCGUUCUCGCCGGAUGUAGGAACCGACCCGGGGACCGCCGGGGGCAACCCGGCGCCCCCGAGACGGGGCGAACCACGGUGAAAUGACGGAUCGUCGGCCCCGCGCCGGCGACUCGCCGAAUGAGUUUCUGACCUAUCAACUCGAGACGGCGGGGUAGAGGCCCGCCGCGGUAACGACGGGUAACGGGGAAUCAGGGUUCGAUUCCGGAGAGGGAGCCCGAGAAACGGCUACCACUUCCAAGGAAGGCAGCAGGC